rnacentral:misc_RNA from 1 species
GAGUCACAGUUUGGUUUCCUUAAAAAAUCUGCAACCAGUGAAAGAAUCUGAGUGGGUGGUCCGAAAAACAACUGUAAAGUACCAAACAUAGAGAAAGAACAAGAAAGAGAGAGACCACCAUGGCAUACCACUUCUGGAGAUGAGACCAAUCAGUCUUGAUCCUUCCAAAAGAAGGGCUUCAUGGGAAAAGACGAGGAGGAGGAAGAAGAAGAAGCUGAAUCCACGUUGUGCUGUUGUCUCUGCAAGUCAGAAGAAUCAUUAAACUGUUGUUGAUUUGGAUUGCCAAAAGGAAUGUGUGAUUGCAAUAACAGAUUAUUAGUGGUGUCCAAAUCAUCCCACACUGGACUUCCCGGUCCCCAUCCUGCUGGAAUUGCAUUGAACCAAGCUUCUGCCAUGUCUCCCCA